UACGAAGGGGGCUAGCGUUGCUCGGAAUCACUGGGCGUAAAGCGCACGUAGGCGGACUCUUAAGUCGGUGGUGAAAUCCUGGAGCUCAACUCCAGAACUGCCUUCGAUACUGGGAGUCUUGAGUCCGGAAGGGGCGAGUGGAAUUCCUGGUGUAGCGGUGAAAUGCGCAGAUAUCAGGAGGAACACCAAUGGCGAAGGCAGCUCGCUGGAACGGUACUGACGCUGAGGCGCGAAAGCGUGGGGAGCAAACAGG
rnacentral:rRNA from 1 species